CCUACGGGAGGCAGCAGUGAGGAAUAUUGGUCAAUGGACGAGAGUCUGAACCAGCCAAGUAGCGUGAAGGAUGACUGCCCUAUGGGUUGUAAACUUCUUUUAUAUGGGAAUAAAAUGUUCCACGUGUGGGAUUUUGUAUGUACCAUAUGAAUAAGGAUCGGCUAACUCCGUGCCAUCAGCCGCGGUCAUACGGUGGAUCCGAGCGUUAUCCGGAUUUAUUGGGUUUAAAGGGAGCGUAGGUGGGUUGUUAAGUCAGUUGGGAAAGUUUGCGGCUCAACCGUAGAAGUGCAGUUGAGACUGGCAGUCUUGAGUGCGGUAGAGGUGGGAGGAAUUCGUGGUGUAGCGGUGAAAUGCUGAGAGAGCACGAAGAACACAGAUGGCGAAGGCAGCUCACUGGACGGCAACUGACGCUGAGGCGCGAAAGUGGGGGGAUCAAACAGGAUGAGAUACCCAAGUAGUC
rnacentral:rRNA from 1 species